rnacentral:rRNA from 1 species
UACGUAGGGUGCGAGCGUUGUCCGGAAUUAUUGGGCGUAAAGAGCUCGUAGGCGGCUUGUCGCGUCGGAUGUGAAAGCCCGGGGCUUAACUCCGGGUCUGCAGUCGAUACGGGCAAACUUGAGUGUUGCAGGGGAGACUGGAAUUCCUGGUGUAGCGGUGAAAUGCGCAGAUAUCAGGAGGAACACCGGUGGCGAAGGCGGGUCUCUGGGCCGAUACUGACGCUGAGGAGCGAAAGCGUGGGGAGCGAACAGG